UGGGGAAUAUUGCACAAUGGGCGCAAGCCUGAUGCAGCCAUGCCGCGUGUGUUAAGAAGGCCUUCGGGUUGUAAAGCACUUUCAGCGGGGAGGAAGGCGAUAAGGUUAAUAACCUUGUCGAUUGACGUUACCCGCAGAAGAAGCACCGGCUAACUCCGUGCCAGCAGCCGCGGUAAUACGGAGGGUGCAAGCGUUAAUCGGAAUUACUGGGCGUAAAGCGCACGCAGGCGGUCUGUCAAGUCGGAUGUGAAAUCCCCGGGCGCAACCUGGGAACUGCAUUCGAAACUGGCAGGCUAGGGUCUUGGAGAGGGGGGUAGAGGUCCAGGUGUAGCGGUGAAGUACGUAGAGAACUGGAGGAAUACCGGUGGCGAAGGCGGCCCCCUGGACAAAGACUGACGAUCAGGUGCGAAAGCGUGGGGAGCAAACAGG
rnacentral:rRNA from 1 species